rnacentral:rRNA from 1 species
GAUGAACGCUGGCGGCGUGCCUAAUACAUGCAAGUCGAGCGAACAGAUAAGGAGCUUGCUCCUUUGACGUUAGCGGCGGACGGGUGAGUAACACGUGGAUAACCUACCUAUAAGACUGGGAUAACUUCGGGAAACCGGAGCUAAUACCGGAUAACAUAUUGAACCGCAUGGUUCAAUAGUGAAAGGCGGCUUUGCUGUCACUUAUAGAUGGAUCCGCGCCGUAUUAGCUAGGUGGUAAGGUAACGGCUUACCAAGGCAACGAUGCGUAGCCGACCUGAGAGGGUGAUCGGCCACACUGGAACUGAGACACGGUCCAGACUCCUACGGGAGGCAGCAGUAGGGAAUCUUCCGCAAUGGGCGAAAGCCUGACGGAGCAACGCCGCGUGAGUGAUGAAGGUCUUCGGAUCGUAAAACUCUGUUAUCAGGGAAGAACAAAUGUGUAAGUAACUGUGCACAUCUUGACGGUACCUGAUCAGAAAGCCACGGCUAACUACGUG